rnacentral:rRNA from 1 species
CCAGACUCCUACGGGAGGCAGCAGUGAGGAAUAUUGGUCAAUGGGCGCGAGCCUGAACCAGCCAAGUCGCGUGAGGGAGGACGGCCCUACGGGUUGUAAACCUCUUUUGCCGGGGAGCAACGGGCGUCACGUGUGGCGCCACUGAGAGUACCCGGAGAAAAAGCAUCGGCUAACUCCGUGCCAGCAGCCGCGGUAAUACGGAGGAUGCGAGCGUUAUCCGGAUUUAUUGGGUUUAAAGGGUGCGUAGGCGGAUGGAUAGGUAAGUGGUAAAAUGGGGGGGCUCAACCCCUCCCCGCCAUUGAAACUGGCGCUCUUGAGUGGAAGAGAAGUAUGCGGAAUGCGUGGUGUAGCGGUGAAAUGCAUAGAUAUCAUGCAGAACCCCGAUUGCGAAGGCAGCAUACCGGUGCACAACUGACGCUCAGGCACGAAAGCGUGGGUAUCGAACAGGAUUAGAUACCCCAGUA